rnacentral:lncRNA from 1 species
AAAAAAUAAAAUCCAUCAAUUCCAUUUUAUGCAUACAAUUCUAACAACUAAAACAAGCCCAAAUUUGUAAUAAACCAGCAACAUUACACAUCAUUCCAAAUCGAAGAUUUAUAGUAAACCAGGAGCAUUAGAGCAUAUCCAUACAUCUACACUUAUUGCCUAGUCACUUAUUCCCAGCUAGUGCAAACACAGUUGAAAGCAAACAAAAAUGCAUAAAAACACCAAACAGUGGCAUUCUAUCCCUCCAAAUGAUUUGCUCCCUCUCCAUCCUUGCAAUCAUCUUCUUCUCCCUUAUGUGCUUCUCCCAUUUAUGAAUCCAAGAUUUCUGUAAAGAGCAAAGAACAAAUUAAAUUAAUUUCUAGACAAUAUAUAUUGCCAACCAAGCCUAGAGGAACUAUAUAUUGCCAGGUAAUAGGACAUAUCUAAUUUUCACAUUAAUUGCCUUUAGUUUUCUUCAAAACUAAAUAUACUUAAACUUAGAUCAUUUCAUAUAGAUGUUAAAAGGAUAAUACGGCUAAAAAAAUCCAAUUUCUUUGUUUUUUUGAAGUAGUUUAACAGGAAAGCAUUAACACGUAAUUUCUUUGGUGCUGAUAUCUUUUGUUGCAACAUUACUUAGCAAGUGGGAAAAGAAAGAUGAUUUCAACCGAACUGUGAAAGAAGAGCAAGGGAAAUCAUGGUUAAUUAUCAUAGUAUACUACAAGAAGUUAAACAGGACAGUGCCCUACUACACAAGAAUCAUGGAAUUGAUGGCUAAUUAGUACUCAAUCCACUCUUUGAAACACAACCUUCUUCUUUUUACCUGUUUCUGUCAUAAUAUACCGAUAAACCUAUUAAAAUUUUUAAUUAAAAACACUCUUAUAUUAUGGGACAGAGGGAGUAAAACUGAACAUGUGGCCCAUGUCUAACACAAGAUAUUAUCUACAUAGUAAUGAUGACUAGUAGAAGAGAAUCUCAUGAAUCACGUGUGAUGGAGAUGACUGGUCGACUAUACACUACAUAGAUGGCCUAACAUCGACAGCAAGUCCUUCAGAAGAAACAGUCAAAUUAUCAACAACUGUUUAUCUUCCUACAUCAAUUUGGACAGUAACAGUAAGCAAAGAUAGCAUUAUAAUCCCAGCCAACUACGUAUAUAACUAGGAUAAAAAUGAUGAAAACAAGUAGACUGUCUAACCAAUUGACUACAAUUAUUGAGGAGCUGCAUGGAGAGUGCUAGUAUUAAAAUCGGGCUUGCAUUCUAGGCUCGAUCGAAACUGAAACUGAAAUCAGCCUUGCAAUCUAGGCUCCUCCACCUUUCACAGCGGUGGAGGAAACUGAAACUGAAAUCGGCCUUGCAAUCUACUACAAACCCUCUACAAAAUUCGUAUUGAAACUUUUUUUAAACAACCUCUAUAAGGCCGUAAACUGGCAUACAAAAACAAUGCGCUCAGGAUACUAACUUUUGGGACAACAAACUAAAACGAUGGCUGCUCUCAAACCAUACGUCCAAACGACGCAAAUAAAUACUCUACGGAAAGCUUGGAUCUUGCUUUACAAAUUUCUUAUAGAGGCAACUCGAAAUCCUGAGAAUAACUAACUCGUUUUUCACCUAGAAGCUGGCUGUCCAGAUUUGACAGUGCAGUUUUUAACCGAACCAGAUUCUUAUCUAACAGAAGUAGCACCCAACAAAAUGCAGAUAGACAUGUAACUAAAUUAUACAACUGAACUUUUAGCAGGAAGCAAGCACUCACCAAAAUUCAUACAUGCAUGUAACUAACUUCUGUAAUAACUAAAUUUAGCAGCAGGCGAGCACCCAACAAAAUUCAGAUAGGCAUGUAACUAAAUUCUGCAACUGAAUUUCUAGCAACAAGGAAGCACCCAGCAAAAUUCAGAUAGGCCUUAUACUAGAUUAUGCAAUGCAAUGUUUAUCUUACUCAAAAGCAGAGCAGGUAUCCAUCAAAAUUCAGUCUGACAGCUACAUGUAACCCAAAUUCAGACAUACUACAUGUAACCCAAAUUCUUCUACAACUGAACGUGUAACCACCAAAUUCAGACAAGCAAGCAGCCAAAUCAAUUGGGUCAUCAGUGAGUCACCUGCAGCACAACGGAGUUGAUGACAUCAGCGUAUCCGACGGCGAGGUUGAGCGACAUACAGCGGGCGGGGGCCAUGGCUUAGCACCUGGUGCGGCCCCUCUCGACCUUGCCGAGCUUGUCGAGGUUGAGCACGAUGACCAUGGUGAGCAUGGCGGCGACGCCGGCACCGAGGGAAUGGCCCGUGAAGCUGAGCGCGUAGGCGGGGUACCGGUCGAGGAGGUCCCAGAGCAGGUCGCACUCCCUGUCGAGCACCCAGCCGGCGGCGCGGAGGAGGCUGUUGUGGACGUAGCCGCCGUCAAAGCGGUGCUUGCCGAGGCGGUUGUCGAGGAGCGUGCGCAUGGUCGAGGUAGACGAGGUAGGGCGUGACCCGGCCCACCGUGUCGGCGUAGGUGCGGCGGCGCACGACGUUUGAGGGGUCGAGGAGGAGGGGCACCGCGGCGAGGAGGUUGGGCGGGGCGUAGUUGGCCAUGACGAGGUGGCACAUCCUGGGCACGUGCGCGAAGUCGGCGGCGGCGGCGUGGCCCCAAGUGGCGCUGUCGUGGUGGCCGGAGUGGAUGCACCGCUUCCACGCCCUGCGGCGGGCCGUUGAGGAGAGGAGGUGGGAGCGGAGACGGGAUUGGGGAUCUGGAUCGGGCACUGAGUGUUUUUUUUGAGACAUGGUGUGGGAUGGUUGGUGGGGUGGGAGCAGAUGUAGGUGGUAGCGUGGGGUUUAUAACCCACGCUACUACUAUCGACUUAGUAGUAUCGUGGGUUUAUAACCCACACUACUACUACGGUUGGUCCCGGGAGGCACGGUGGAAAUAACUUAGUAGUAGCGAGGGGUAAAAACCCGCACUACUACUAUCAUGUUAUUAGUAGCGUGGUUUUCUCAAGCUCGCUACUGCUAAUUAGCAGUAGCAUUUGUUUUUAAACCGCGCUACUGCUAAGAUUUCGUGUAUAAGGUUUUCCCUAGUAGUGCAUGUUCCUCUGACUAUGAGAUUAUGCAAAUCCCAAAUACCGGAGGAACACCUUGUGUGCUAUCAAAUGUCACAACAUAACUAGGUGAUUAUAAAGAUGCUCUAAAGGUGUCUCCGAAGGUGUUUGCUGGGUUGGCAUACAACAAGAAUAGGAUUUGUCACUCUGUGUAUCACAGAGGGCUCUUUGGGCCCUCUCGGUAAUGCUCAUCACUAUAAGCCUUGCAAGCAAUGUGACUAAUGAGUUAGUUGCGGGAUGAAGCAUUACAGAACGAGUAAAGAGACUUGCUGGUAAUGAGAUUGAACUAGGUAUGAUUAUGCCGACGAUCGAAUCUCGGGCAAGUAAGACCGAUGACAAAGGGAACAACGUAUGUUGUUAUGUGGUUUGACCGAUAAAGAUCUUUGUAGAAUAUGUAGGAGCCAAUAUGAGCAUCCAGGUUCCACUAUUUGUUAUCAAUUGGAGAUGUGUCUUGAUCAUGUCUACAUAGUUCUCGAAUCCGUAGGGUCUGUACGCUUAACAUUCGAUGAGGAUUUGUAUUAUGAGUUAUGUGUUUUGGUGACCGAAGUUUGUUCGGAGUCCCGGAUGAGAUCACAGACAUGAGAAGGAGUCUCAAAAUGGCCGGGAGGUAAAGAUUGAUAUAUGGAAGGUUACAUUCGGGCACCGGAAUGGUUUCAGGAAGUAUCAGAUAAGUUUCAAAGUACCGGGAGGUUACCGGAACCCCCCGGGGGACUAAUGGGCCUACAUGGGCCCUAGUGGAGAGAGGAGGCCGACGGCCAGGUGGUGGUGCGCGCCCCGCAAGCCCAAACCAAAUUGGACUAUGCGUGGGGGCGCGACCCCAUGAGGGAGUGAAGGAGUCGUGGAUUAGGGGGUCCUUAGACAGCCAGACUAUAUACUUUGGCCGGACUGUUGGACUAUGAAGAUACAAGAUUGAAGACAUCUUCUCGUGUCCGUAUGGGAAUAUCCUUUGCGUGGAAGGCAAGCUUGGCGAUUCGGAUGUGUAGAUCUCCUUCUCUAUAACCGACUCGGUGUAACCCUAGCCCCCUCCUGUGUCUAUAUAAAUCGGAGGGUUUAGUCCGUAGGACAAGAACAAUCAUAUCAUAGGCUAGCUUCUAGAGUUUAGCCUCUACGAUCUCGUGGUAGAUCAACUCUUGUAGUACUCAUAUCAUCAAGAUCAAUCAAGCAGGAAGUAGGGUAUUACCUCCAUCGAGAGGGCCCGAACCUGGGUAAACAUCGUGUCCCCCGCCUCCUGUUACCAUUAGCCUUGGGCGCACAGUUCGGGACCCCCUACCCGAGAGCCGCCGGUUUUGACACCGACAUUGGUGCUUUCAUUGAGAGUUCCGUUGUGCCGUCAUGAUAAGGCUAGAUGGCUCCUUCAAUCGUCUUCAAUGACGCGGUCCAAGGGGAGGUUUUCCUUCCCGGACAGAUCUUCGUAUUCGGCGGGUUCGUACUGCGGGCCAACUCGCUUGGCCAUCUGAAGAAGAUCGAAAGCUACGCGCCUGGCCAUCAGGUCAGGUUUGGAAGCUUGAACUACAAUGCCGACAUCCGCGGAGAGUUGAUCUUCGACGGAUUCGACCCCGUGUUAGGUGCGCCGGAUAGUCCUGACGAGCAUGACUUAGAUCUGCCAUCGGAAAGUAUCCGGGGGAUCGCGCAUGCGGCUGCUCUGGGACUCAAUCCGGAGAAGAUUGUGCUAUAUGAGGACGGGUGGAUGGACCCCACCACGGAGGCUGCACACUCAUCAUACAUGGAGCCGAACACUGAUCCCACCUCCUAUGAGGCCGGUAUCGUCGGACCCUCAGACUCGUCUCCGGCUGCAGGAUCCGAACCGCGUACGCCCAUGCCUAUCGAAUCUGAUUGGGCACCGGUCAUGGAGAUCACCUCCGCGGAUAUCUUUCAGCACUCACCCUUUGGUGAUGUGCUAAAUUCAUUAAGGUCUCUCUCCUUUUCAGGAGACUCCUGGCCGAACUAUGUCCGACUCGAGUGGGAAGCGGAUGACGAAGAAAUUAUCUCAAACACCGUACCCAUAAAAGUACGAUGCGCCUCUGAGAUAGCCGCUCGCUCUAGAAGGCCCGUCAUUGUGUCAGGCUAUGUCCUGGACAAUCCCGGACUCUUUUUGUUGCUCUCCUUGGGAGUCGAAUACUUCGGGCUUCAGGCGGCCGAAGCAUUAACUUCUGGCCUUAGUGGAUCAGGAGAAAUCCUCCGUGACGACACCUUAGAGUCGUCCGCCCCAUGGGGCGGGUGAGGGAGUCCUAGACUAGGGGGUCCUCGGACAGCCGGACUAUAUACUUUGGCCGGACUGUUCGACUAUGAAGAUACAAGAUUGAAGACUUCGUCCCGUGUCCGGAUGGGACUCUCCUUGGCGUGGAAGGCAAGCUUGGCAAUUCGGAUAUGUAGAUCUCCUUCUAUAUAACCGACUCUGUGUAACCCUAGCACCCUCCAGUGUCUAUAUAAACCAGAGGGUUUAGUCCAUAGGACAACAACAAUCAUAUCAUAGGCUGGUUUCUAGGGUUUAGCCUCUACGAUCUCAUGGUAGAUCAACUCUUGUAAUACUCAUAUCAUCAAGAUGAAUCAAGUAGGAAGUAGGGUAUUACCUCCAUUGAGAGGGCCCGAACCUGGGUAAACAUCGUGUCCCCCGCCUCCUGUUACCAUUAGCCUCAGACGCUCAGUUCAUGACCCCCUACCCGAGAUCCGCCGGUUUUGCCACCGACAUUGGUGCUUUCAUUGAGAGUUCCACUGUGCCAUCGCGAUAAGGCUAGAUGGCUCCUUCAAUCGUUUUCAACGACGCGUUCCAGGGGGAGGUUUCCCUUCCCGGACAGAUCUUCGUAUUCGGCGGCUUCGUACUGCGGGCCAACUCGCUUGGCCAUCUAGAGCAGAUCUACAGCUACGCCCCUGGACAUUAGGUCAGGUUUGGAAGCUUGAACUACACGGCCAACAUCUGCGGUGACUUGAUGUUUGAUGGAUUCGACCCCGUGUCAGGUGCGCCGGACAAUCCUGUCGAGCAUGAAUUAGAUCUGCCAUUGGAUAGUAUUUGGGGGAUCGCGCCUGCGGUUGCUCCGGAACUCAAUCCGGAGCAGAUUGUGCCAUCCGAGGACGGGUGGAUAGACCCCGCCACAGAGGCCGCACACUCAUCAGCAUUGGAGCCAAACAAUGAUCCCACCUCCUAUGAGGCCGGUAUCAUUGGACCCUCGGACUCGUCUCCGGCUACAGGAUCCAUACCACGCACGCCCGUGCCUAUCGAAUCCGACUGGGCACCGGUCAUGGAGUUCACCUCCGCGGAUAUCUUUCAGCACUCGCCCUUGGGUGAUGUGCUAAAAUCAUUAAGGUCUCUCUCCUUGUCAGGAGACUCCUUGCCAAACUAUGUCUGGCUCGAGUGGGAAGCGGACGACGAGGAAAUUCGUCCCCCACCCACUACCCACUUAAUAGCCACUGUCGAUGACUUAACCGACGUGCUUAACUUCAACUCCGAAGACAUCGACGGUAUGGACGACGAUGUAGGAGAAGAACAGAAACCACCACCUAUAGGGCGUUGGACAGCUGAUGACCCACAAGUGUAGGGGAUCUAUCAUAGUCCUUUUGAUAAGUAAGAGUGUCGAACCCAACGAGGAGCAGAAGGAAAUGAUAAGCGAUUUUCAGUAAGGUUUUCUCUGCAAGCACUAAAAUUGUAGGUAAUAGAUAGUUUUGCGAUAAGAUAAAUUGUAGCAAGUAACAAGCAAUAAAAUUAAAUAAGGUGCAGCAAGGUGGCCCAAUCCUUUUUGUAGCAAAGGACAAGCCUGGACAAUUUCUUAUAAUGAGAAAAGUGCUCCUGAGGACACAUGGGAAUUAUCGUCAAGCUAGUUUCAUCACACUCAUAUGAUUCACGUUCGGUACUUUGUUAAUUUGAUAUGUGGAUGGACCGGUUCUUGGGUACUGCCCUUACUUGGACAAGCAUGCCACUUAUGAUUAACCCCUAUUGCAAGCAUCCACAACUACUACAAAAGUAUUAAGGUAAACCUAACCACAACAUUAAACAUUUGGAUCCAAAUCAGCCCCUUACGAAGCAAUGCAUAAACUAGGAUUUAAGAUUUUGUCACUCUAGCAACCCAUCAUCUACUUAUUACUUCCCAAUGCUUUCCUCUAGGCCCAAAUAAUGGUGAACUGUCAUGUAGUCGAUGUUCACAUAACACCACUAGAUGGAAGACAACAUACAUCUUAUCAAAAUAUCGAAUGAAUACCCAAUUCACAUGACUACUAAUAGCAAGACUUCACCCAUGUCCUCAGGAACAAACGUAACUACUCACAAAGCAUAUUCAUGUUCAUAAUCAGAGGUGUAAUAAUAUGCAUUAAGGAUCUGAACAUAUGAUCUUCCACCAAGUAAACCAAUAAGUAUCAACUACAAGGAGUAAUCAACACUACUAGCAACCCACAAGUACUAAUUUGUGGUUUUGGAUACAAGAUUUGAUACAAGAGAUGAACUAGGGUUUGAGAGGAGAUGGUGCUGAUGAAGAUGUUGAUGGAGAUUGACCCCCUCCCGAUGAUAGGAUAGUUGGUGAUGACGAUGGUGAUGAUUUCCCCCUUCCAGAGGGAAGUUUCCCCGGUAGAACAGCUUUGCCGGAGCUCUAGAUUGGUUCCGCCAAGGUUCCGCCUCGUGGCGGCGGAGUUUCAUCCCGUAAGCUUGCCCACGAUUUUUUCCAGGGUAAAAGCCUUCAUAUAGCAGAAGAUGGACAUCGGGGGGCCACCAUGGGGCCCAGGAGAUGGGGGCGCGCCCAGUAGGGGUGGGCGCGCCCCCACCCUCCUUGCCAGGGUGUGGUCCCCCUGAGGUGUUUCUUCCACUCAAUAAUUCUUAUUAAAUCCAAUAAUAAGUUUGGUGGAGUUUCAGGUCUUUUGGAGCAGUGCAGAAUAGGUUUCCAAUGUAUGCUCCUUUUUCAGCCAGAAUUCCAGCCGCCGAUAUUCCCCCUCUUCAUGGUAAAACUUAUAAAAUAAGAGAGAAUAGCCAUAAGUAUUGAUAUAUAAUGUGUAAUGACAGCCCAUAAUGCAAUAAAUGUUGAUAUAAAAGCAUGAUGCAAAAUGGACGUAUCAACUCCCCCAAGCUUAGACCUCGCUUGUCCUCAAGCGGAAGCCGAAAUCAAAAAUAUGCCCACAUGUUUAGAGAUAGAGGUGUCAAUAAAAAAAUAAAAUACGGACAUGAGGGCAUCAUGAUUAUUCUUAUAACAUCAACAUAAAUAUAUUUUUUCAUAUAAAUUCUUAUGCUCAAGUAACAAUCAAUUCACAAUGUCAAGUAUGGUUCAGAAACUUCAUUGAAAGCUAACAAACUAUAAUCUCAGUCAUUGAAGCAAUUGCAAUUUAUCAUAACAUCAGAAAGAGUCAAGAAUAGAGCUUUUUAGCAAGUCCACAUACUCAACUAUCAUGUAGUCUUCUACAAUUGCUAAGACUCGCGCAAUACUUGUGGUUAUAGAGUUUCAGCCAGACACUGAGAAAGAUAGGGGCUUAUUGUGUUGCCUCCCAACGUAUUCACCUUUAUGUGAUGUCAACAAUAAUAUUCCAUGCUAACGAACAUCCAGUUGGAUAUAUAUAUCAUUAUCUUUCAUACACAAGGAGCUUGCCAAAGGAUAAAAUGAAAAAGGGAAAGGUGAAGAUCACCUUGACUCAAGCAUAAAGUAAGAACAAAAGUAGAAACAUAAAGUAAAAGAUAGGCCCUUCGUAGAGGGAAGCAGAGGUUGUCAUGCACUUUUACGGUUGGAUACACAAAAUCUUAGUCCGAAAGAAUGUCACUUUAUAUUGCCACUUGUAUAUGGACCUUUAUUAUGCAGUCUAUUGCUUUUAUUGCUUCCAUAACAAGUUCGUAUACAGCUUAUUUUCUCCGCACUAAUAAGUCAUGCAUAUUUAGAGAGCAAUUUUUAUUGCUUGCACCGAUGACAACUUGAAGAAUCUUACUCGAUCCAUAGGUAGGUAUGGUGGAAUCUCAUGGAAAAACGGGGUUUAAGGGUAUUUGGAAGCACAAGUAGUAUCUCUACUUAGUGCUAGGAAUUUGGCUAGCAUGAGGGGGAAAGGCAGCUCAACAUGUUUGAAAGGUCAAUGACAAUAUACUUUAACUGAGAAGUCAGAAAACAUAAACCAUUAUGGUGUCUUCCUUGUCCAACGUCGACUCUUUUAGCAUGUCAUACUUAAUGAGUGCUCACAAUCAUAAAAAGAUGUCAAAGAUAGUAUAUUUAUAUGUGAAACCUCUCUUUCCUUAUCACUUCCUAUUAAUUGCAACGAUGACCAAAACUAUGCUUAUCAACUCUCAACAACUUUUAAGCCUCAUACUUUCUAUGUGUGAAGUCAUUACUAUCCAUAAGAUCAAUAUGAACUCUUUUAUUCUUUUUAUUAUUUCUAUUUUUCUCAAGAUCAUAGCAAGAAAGCAAAGCCCUUGACUCAACACUAAUCUUUAUUAUGGAUAACUCAUGGACUCGAUUACAUAAAGAGAUCACAAAGCAAAACUCAAAACUACUUGAUAUCAAAACUUCGAUCUACUGGAUCAAGAUACUACAAAAAGGAUCUAACUAAAUAAAACGGUAAAGAUAGGAGUGUGAUGGGUAUACGAUACCAGGGCACCUCCCCCAAGCUUGGCAGUUGCCAAGGGGAGUGCCCAUACCCAUGUGAUUAUGUCCCCGGAGGUGGUGAAGUAGGAGUUAUUGAUGAUGUAGGCUUCUUCCUCAAUUUACGCUUGAGUAUAGUGUUUUGCUCUUUUAGGUCCUCGAUCUCCCGCUCAAGACUUAAUACUCUUUUGCAUAGUUCCUGCUUAUUUUCCUGCAAGAGACAAAAAGGGAUAAACUCGAUCUUUGGUUUCUUUGCUCUAUCAGGUAGGCUUGACUUUUUAAACUCCACAUGCAUAUCCCCCGGUUGAGGUAAUGGAAUUUCUUCUUUGUCUGAGCUUGUUUAUUCCUUUCCCUUAGGCUCAUAGUCUUCUUCUUCCUCUGUGGUCCAACCACUAUGGUCCAAAUUCCCGUAGACUUUAGGGUCUGCAAGAUAAUCAGCCACAUAGCUUUCUCCCUCCGAAUCUUAAGAUGACAUGUUGCUUAAACCUGUGGCAGAAAUAGCUCGAAACGAAGACAGAGGAUAUUUGCGUAAUACGGUGGUCAAAACUUCUGGGAGAUUAUAUAAUGAAUUUUUACCAGCCAAAGUACGUAACAUGGAAGAAAACGGAGUCCGGGAGGCACACGAGGUGUCCACGAGACAGGGGGGCGCGCCCAGUAGGGGUGGGCGCACCCUCCACUCUCGUGAGGCCUCGUGUCCUUCCCAGACUACUUCUUUCUUCCUAAAAUUCUUAAAUAUUCCAGAACUGAUAGAAAUUGCCUUUAGAAUUGUUUUGGAGUCGGUUUACUUACCGUACCACAUACCUAUUCCUUUUCGGAGUCUGGAACAUUUUGGAAAGUGUCCCUUGUGUAUUCCACCGGGGUUACGGUUUCAAUAAUAUUAGUUUCAACAUUGAUAGUAUUACCUGAAAUAUAAUGUUUAAUUAUUUGACCGUUCACGACCCUCGGGCUUGUACCUUCGAAGUUGUUGAUUUUUUUGGCACCCGAAUGAUAGACUUCCUCGACAACGUAAGGACCUUCCCAUUUAGAGAGAAGUUUUCCUGCAAAAAAUCUUAAACGAGAGUUGAAUAAUAACACAUAAUUACCUGCGUUAAAAUCACACUUUUGUAUCCUUUUGUCAUGCCAGCGUUUGACUUUUUCUUUGAAUAGCUUGGCAUUCUCAUAGGCUUGGGUUCUCCAUUCAUCAAGUGAGCUAAUAUCAAACAACCUCUUAUCACCGGCAUGUUUGAAGUCAUAGUUGAGCUCUUUAAUAGCCCAAUAUGCUUUACGUUCAAGUUCUAGAGGUAAAUGACAAGCUUUUCCAUAAACCAUCUUAUACAGAGAUAUACCCAUAUGAUUUUUGUAUGCAGUUCUAUAGGCCCAUAAUGCAUCAUCAAGUUCCUUGGACCAAUUCUUUCUAGAUCUGUUAACAGUAUUUUGCAAAAUUAAUUUGAGCUAUCUAUUGCUCAACUCUACUUGACCACUAGACUGCGGGUGAUAAGGAGAUGCAAUUCUAUGAUUAACAUCGUACUUAGCAAGCAUCUUACGGGAAGCACCAUGAAUAAAAUGUGAACCACCAUCAGUCAUAAGAUAUCUGGGGACUCUAAACCUCGGUAAAAUAACUUCUUUAAGCAUUUUAAUAAAAGUGUUUUGAUCAGCACUACUAGUUGGAAUAGCUUCUACCCACUUAGUUACGUAAUCAACAACAACUAAAAUAUGUGUGUAACCAUUAGAGGCAGGAAAAGGUCCCAUAUAAUCAAAGCCCCAAACAUCAAACGGUUCAAUAACAAAAGAAUAAUUCAUAGGCAUUUCUUGAUGUCUACUAAUAUUACCAAUUCUUUGACAUUCAUCACAAGAUAAGACAAACUUACGGGCAUCUUUGAAGAGAGUAGGCCAAUAAAAAUCGGAUUGCAAUACCUUAUGUGCAGUUCUGUCUCCAGCGUACUGUCCUCCGUAUGAUUCAGAGUGACACUUGCAUAGGAUCUGUUCCUGUUCAUGCUCAGGUACACAACGUCUAAUAACACCAUCUACUCCUUCUUUAUAAAGGUGUGGGUCAUCCCAAAAGUAAUGUCUUAAAUCAUAAAAGAACUUUUUUUGCUGGUAUGUGAAACUAGGUGGUAUAAAUUUAGCAACAAUGUAAUUAGCAUAAUCAGCAUACCACAGAGCAGUACGAGAAGCAUUAAUGACCGCUAAUUGUUCAUCAGGAAAACUAUAAUCAAUAGGCAGUGGGUCAUCAAGAACAUUCUCUAACCUAGACAAGUUGUCUACAACGGGGUUCUCAGCUCCCUUUCUAUCAAUAAUAUGCAAAUCAAAUUCUUGGAGCAAGAGAACCUAUCUAAUGAGUCUCGGUUUAGCAUCUUUCUUUUCCAUAAGAUAUUUAAUAGCAGCAUGAUGAGUGUGAAUAGUAACUUUGGAAUCAACAAUAUAAGGUCUAAACUUAUCACAUGCAAACACAACUACUAAGAAUUUUUUUUCAGUAGUAUCAUAAUUUCUCUGGGCAGCAUUGAGAGCUUACUAGCAUACUGGAUAGCAUUUAAUUUCUUAUCAACUCUUUGCCCUAGAACAACACCUACAGCAUAUCACUAGCAUCACACAUUAUCUCAAAAGGUAAAUUCCAAUCAGGUGGCUGAACAAUAGGUGCAGCGAUCAAAGCUUUCUUAAGUAUUUCAAAUGCUCCUACACAAUCAUCAUCAAAGACAAAAGGAAUAUCCUUUUGCAAUAAAUUAGUCAGAGGCCUAGAGAUUUUAGAAAAGUCCUUAAUGAACCUCCUAUAAAAACCGGCAUGACCAAGGAAACUUCUUAUACCUUUUAUGUCCUUGGGACAUGGCAUCUUUUCAAUAGCAUCAACUUUAGCUUUAUCAACUUCAAUACCUCUCUCAGAGAUCUUGUGCCCCAAGACAAUGCCUUCAUUAACAAUAAAGUGGCACUUUUCCCAAUUCAAGACAAGGCUAGUGUGUUCGCAUCUCUGCAGAACUCGAUCAAGGUUGCUCAAGCAAUCAUCAAAAGAGGAUCCAUAAACGGAGAAGUCAUCCAUGAAUAUCUUACAAAUCUUUUCACAAAAGUCAUAGAAUAUAGCCAUCAUACAUCUUUGAAAGGUAGUAGGUGCAUUACAUAAACCAAAAGGCAUAUGUCUAUAAGCAAAAGUACCGAAAGGCAAGUAAAAGUAGUUUUUGAUUGAUCCUUCACUGAGACAAGUAUUUGAGAGAAACCAAAAUAACCAUCUAGAAAGCAGAAAUGUGUAUGUUUGGAUAGUCUUUCUAGCAUUUGAUCAAUAAAAGGUAAAGGGUAAUGAUCUUUCUUAGUGGCCUUAUUUAAUUUACGGAAAUCAAUUACCAUCCUAUAACCUGUAAUAAUUCUUUGCGGGAUGAAUUCAUCUUUAUCAUUAGGAACGACUGUAAUACCUCCCUUUUUAGGAACGACUGUAAUCACUAUCAGUAACGGGAUAAAUUAUACCUACCUCAAGAAGCUUUAGUAUCUCCUUUCUUACCACUUCUUUAAUCUUGGGAUUCAGUCAUUGUUGAGGAUCUCUAACUGGUUUGGCAUCGUCCUCCAAACUAAUUUUGUGUUGACAUAAAGUGGGACUAAUGCCCUCAAGAUCAUCCAGAGUAUAUCCAAUAGCAGCACGGUGCUUCUUUAGAGUUUUCAAUAAUCUUUCCUGUUCUUGCUCUGAAAGGUUAGCACUAAUAAUAACAAGAUAUAUCUUCUUUUCAUCAAGAUAAGCAUAUUUAAGAUUAUCAGGUAAUGGUUUUAGCUCCAACACGGGAUCACCCUUAGGUGGAGGAGGAUCCCUUAGAAUUUCAACAGGUAAGUUAUGUUUCAGAAUAGGUUCCUGUUUAAGGAACACUUCAUCUAUUUCCCUUCUUUCUUUCAUAAACAUAUCAUUUUCAUGGUCUAACAAAUAUUGUUCUAACGGACCAGUAGGAGGCAUAGCAAUAGAAGCAAUACCAACUAUUUCAUCUUUACUAGAUAAUUCUUUAUCACGGGGUUGUCUAUGAAAUAUAGCAAAAUUAAACUUAUGAGUCAUAUCAUCCAAGCCAAUUGUAACAACAUCCUUUUCACAAUCAAUCUUAGCUUUAACAGUUUUCAAGAAGGGUCUACCAAAUAUGAUGGGACAAAUGUCAUCUUGUGGAGAACCAAGAACAAGAAAAUCAGCAGGGUAUUUGACCUUCCCACACAAGACUUCAACAUAUCUAACAAUCCCAAAGGGCCUAAUAGUAUCUCUAUUGGGAAGCUUAAUUGUAACAUCAAUAUCUUCUAACUCAGCAGGUGCAAUAUCAUGCAUAAUCUCUUUGUAUAAGUCAUAGGGUAUUGCACUAGCACUAGCACCCAUAUCAAAUAAGCCAUGAUAACAAUGAUCUCCUAUUUUAACAGAAAUAACAGGCAUGCCUACAACGGGUCUAUGUAUCUUAGCAUCUGGUUUUGCAAUAUUAGCAGCUUCAUCACAGAAAUAAAUAACAUGGCCAUCUAAAUUAUCAUCCACAAGAUCUUUAACCAUAGCAAUACUAGGAUCAACUUUAAUUUGCUCAGGAGGUGUAUAAGUUCUAGUAUUACUCUUACGAACAACAGUUGAACCUUUAGCAUGAUCCUUUAUCUUAAUAGGAAAAGGUGGUUUCUCAACAUAAGUAGUAGGAACAAUAGGAUCAUUAUAGGUAAUAAUAUUUUCUUCAACUGUAAUAGGUGCAACUACUUUUACUUCAAUGGGAGGAUUAUAUUUAAACCACUUCUCCUUAGGGAGGUCAACGCGAGUAGCAAAAUAUUCACAGAAAGAAGCUACUAUCUCAGAGUCAAGUCCAUAUUUAGUGCUAAAUCCACGAAAAACAUCGGUAUCCAUAAAAGAUUUAACACAAUCAAACUUAGGUGUCAUACCUGACUCCUUACCAUCGUCAGAACCCCAAUCUUCAGAGUUGCGUUUAAUUCUUUCCAAUAAUUUCCAUUUGAAUUCAAUAGUCUUUAGCAUAUAAGAACCAACACAGGAAGUGUGACAUCCCAAAUUUUCAAUUUGGAAUGUUAUACAUAGGUCAUUCAUGCAUAUCAUAUUUUAUUUCUUUUCCGCUUUGCAAUCCUCGAAAUCCUAAGCAACUCAAGUACCCUCGGAGAGAGUUGGGGAUUUUCCGGUUUCAUAUUUGGGUUUUCCUACCAAAUAAUGAAACGAGGAUUUUUGAUUUUAAUUAUUUCUCCCUCCGGAAAAUAUUUCGUACCAAAAAUAAAUGAGAGGAGAUAAUAUGACUUCUCCAAAAUAAUUGAAAUAUUGGAGGAAAAAUAUUAAAAUCAUUUAUUUGAUUUUAGUUGGUUUUAUUCGGAUUUUAAUUGCAAUAGAAAAAUUUGCACGUUUGCAAAAAUGCAUUUUAGGGCCAAGAAAAUGUUCAUCUCGUUCUAAAUAUUUUAUUUAGAUGAUGAAAAUUUGUUUGGGCAUUUUUAAGUUUUUAUUUUAUUUUAUAGGAUUUUAUUUCUGUCGGUGGAAUAUUAUAUAUAUAUAAAAAACUUCACCGCGCCCGACCGGCCCUAAGGCCCAGCCGAGGAGGCCGGCCCAGCCGCUGCCGCCUCCUGCGCGCGAGCGCCGCCGCCGCCGCCGACUCGGACAGGAGUCCGAGCCGGACUCCACCGCCGCCGCCUUGGCCCCUACUCGAAGACGACACCCUUUAUAUACUCCCCCGAGCCCCCCCCCUCCUCCACCACAAACCACCGCCACCACCGCAGCCGCCCCGAGCCGCUCCACCUCCCGCUGCCGCGCCUCGCCGCCGCCGCUGCAGCCCCGCCGCCGCCGCCGGUUGUCGCGCCGUCACCGAGCCCCGCCGCCCCGUGAGCCGAGCCCCUCCGCAUCACCUCGCCUCGCCGGAGCCCCUCGCCGGAGGUACCGAGCUGGAUUCGAGCCGCCGUUUUUUUUCUUAAAACCGUUCGGUUUUUUAGAAACCCUAGUUCAUUUUUUUAGAUCGGCUCACCGGUUUUUCGCGGUUCUUCUAUUUAGCGGACGUUCGUCCGUAUGUUCAUCAAAACGAACGGUUUUCAUUCGUUAGUUACAGAUAAUGAACGCUCGUUCGUUAGCCUGUUCGUCAGUUUUCUUUUAUCGGAUUUAUUUGCGAUUAUUCUCGGUCGCGAUUUCUGAUCCGACCUUAGUUUUUCUUUAUCUUUUCGCUCGUUAGUCGGAAUCAAGUGAUUCAAAAGCCUAGAGUUUCGUCUCAAGACCCUCUUUCUGUUUAACCAACUUGAACAAGAUUUUGAUACUAUCAAAUUUGACUUUAGUUCAGAUUAGUAAACGGAUCUUCUUUGUCUCGCCGUUUGAGUUUCGUUGCUCCGUUUGAUUUGAUUCUUUUUGCAAACCGAAGUUCUUAAGUUGAACUUUCCGCUCUUUCGUUUUAGUUGAAGUUUUGCUCGCGCAUCUCUGCUAGUUGCUUAUGUAUGUUAUUGUUUGUUUGCCAUAGAAUACCCGAAGUGCGAAGCGUGUUACUACAAGUCUCUAGGUUUCGCGGAUCGUCAGCAAGGCAAGUAACACAUUGAUCAUACUCUUUUCAUACCCAGUUUUCAUUGCAUUAGUUCAAUCCUUAAACAUUGCAUGGUUAGGAUGUCUUUAAUAUGUGGGUUUUGGGAAGUAGCUGAUGAGGUAGAACCUAUUGCCCUGCUUAUUUUUAAACACUUGGGAGUUACUUCUAUGUUAUGCUUAUAUUGCUAUGCUAUGCUCGUAGACGUGGAUUGGGUUUGAGUGUUCCAUGACAGAUGUGAGAUUGUUAAUUAAUGGUUCAACUUAAGGUGGCAACUUUAAUACACAUCUGGGUGGAUUGAGGCACCUGGGGAACCCAGUGAUUGUUUGUUUUUUUGGAAAUCCCGGGGUUACCGUGUGAUCUUCCUAUGGACCGCCACCCAGGCUCAAAGGGAACUGAGAUGAUUCAUGCUAGAAACUUUUGUGUGCAACCACAAGCUAUUAUGGGCUCUAGCAUAGCUGAGUAAGUUAUGUGAAGCUCUUGAACACGUAGAUCAGCAGGUAGUGGGUUUUGUAGGUUUGGUAUGGUCUACCCGGAGUAGAGAGUUAAUGUUUCUGAAAGACUAUGUCUCGGUCAUCCGUUUCUCAAACACCGUGCAAUGCGAGAAAUCCAACGGAGGCGAUCGAGUCUUGUGGGGAAAAGUGCGCAAACCUCUACAGAGUGUACAAUCUAAUCAUGGUUAGUCGUGUCCCCGGUUAUGGACAAUUCUGAGUGUCUAGUACUCGGGUUAUCUUAUGUAUCUGAUCACUCUUAAUUAAUAUUGUUGGGUUGUUAAUCACAUUAAUUGGGAUUGACUUGGGGUUACCUUCUCAAUGUUGUUCAAAUACCAUGAUAGUUAAAUAAAAAUUUAUUCCUUUGCAGUAGGAAAAAAUUGGCUUUAUGCAAACCUGUAACCAUAGAGCUUUCCACCAGCCAAAUAUGCAUGUAGUGAUAGCAUUAUUCUAUUUUGCUCUACUGUGUAAUAUUGCCAGCAUAUUCUAUGUGCUGACCCGUUUCUCGGGCUGCAACAUGUUAUGUUGCAGACUUUUCAGAUGAGGAGUAAGGUUCGUUAGGUCGUUGCCGUGCAGCUCAGCUAUGCCGUUGGAGUUGAUGGACUCACUUUAUCUUCCAAGCCUUCCGCUAUUAUCGCACUAGAUGGCCUUUAGCCAUAUUAUUGUAAUAAGUUCUCUUCUGAGACAUUCGAUGUAAUAAGUGUGUGAUUGCUACUCUGUUAUAAAUCCUUCGAGUACUGUGCGUGUCAGCAUUACUGAUCCAGGGAUGACACUGAUGCACAGAGGCUUGACCGUUUGAGGUUGGGUCGCUACAAGAUGGUAUCAGAGCACACGCUGAGUGUAGGACACGACCACUAAGACAAACCAUAGGUCACUCUUCUCUACUCCUUUCUGAUUCCUCUUCCCCUUUUCCACUCUUUAGGAUGUCGGAGAUGAAGAACAAGUUUGCGCAACCGGACGAGGAUACACCUUUUGGACGCCACUUGAAGGAAGUCACGAGGUACCUGAACAUUGGAAUACCAAGUUUCACCGGGACGUACAAGGCCACCUUACCUGAAGAGGAGCGCUGGAUGAUUCAAGUACAAGUACCAGGAAGGAUGUUCUCGCCAACUUCUAAACCCAUAGAAUUUUCCUUUGAUUCACCAACCUGGAGCCUAGGCAAGAGCAUGGCAGCCCACAUUACCAUGGGACGCAUUGGAGAAGUCUAUAACAAGGAACUCAAGGACACCAUCUAUCAAAUAUGUGGGUGCCGAGACGAGCAAUGGGAGAUGAUCAGCACCAAGAAGGAUAGAUCCAUUGCAGCUUUUAUCCAGGAGAAAAACCAGCACAUUCGACGAUAGGAGAACCAGAUGUGCGCAGACAUGAUGGAGUUGAAGAAGGCAAAGACUAGGAUCAUCGAGCUGGAGGAAGAACUCAAGUUCACCCGCGAUGGAUAUGAGGAGGAAAUCAAGACGCUACUGGAGAAGAACGAUGACCUGGUUAAGAAGAAUCGGAAUAUUCAUGGGAGAACCAGCACC